rnacentral:rRNA from 2 species
AUCUGAACUUAGAUGGGAUUACCC